AUUUGUCUGGUUAAUUCCGAUAACGAACGAGACCUUAACCUGCUAAUUAGUCGUCCCCAUUUUAUGGGAAAUGACUUCUUAGAGGGACUAUGCAUAUCAAGUGCAUGGAAGUUUGAGGCAAUAACAGGUCUGUGAUGCCCUUAUAUGUCCUGGGCUGCACGCGUGCUACACUGAUGCAUACAACAAGUGCCUAGCUAGACAUAGUAUGGCAAUCUGGAAUAUGCAUCGUGAUGGGGAUAGAUCUUUGCAAUUAUAGAUCUUGAACGAGGAAUUCCUAGUAAGUGCAAGUCAUCAUCUUGCAUUGAUUAUGUCCCUGCCCUUUGUACACACCGCCCGUCGCUCCUACCGAUACCGGGUGAUCCGGUGAACCUUUUGGACCUUUAUUGGAAAAAUAAGUAAACCAUAUCACCUAGAGGAAGGAGAAGUCGUAACAAGGUUUCCGUAGGUGAACCUGCRGAAGGAUCA
rnacentral:rRNA from 1 species